CCUACGGGUGGCAGCAGUGGGGAAUAUUGCACAAUGGGGGAAACCCUGAUGCAGCGACGCCGCGUGAAUGAAGAAGUAUUUCGGUUUGUAAAGCUCUUUCAGCAGGGAAGAAAAUGACGGUAUCUGAUUAAUAAGCCCCGGCUAACUACGUGCCAGCAGCCGCGGUAAUACGGAGGGGGCAAGCGUUAUCCGGAUUUACUGGGUGUAAAGGGAGCGUAGACGGCAGAGCAAGUCUGAAGUGAAAUGCCGGGGCUUAACCCCGGAACUGCAUUUGAAACUGUGCAGCUAGAGUGCAGGAGAGGUAAGUGGAAUUCCAAGUGUAGCGGUGAAAUGCGUAGAGAUGAGGAGGAACACCAGUGGCGAAGGCGGCUUACUGGACUAUAACUGACGUUGAGGCGCGAAAGCGUGGGGAGCAAACAGGAUUAGAUACCCUGGUAGUC
rnacentral:rRNA from 1 species